rnacentral:rRNA from 1 species
CGCUAAUACCGCAUACGACCUACGGGUGAAAGCAGGGGAUCUUCGGACCUUGCGCGAUUGAAUGAGCCGAUGUCGGAUUAGCUAGUUGGCGGGGUAAAGGCCCACCAAGGCGACGAUCCGUAGCUGGUCUGAGAGGAUGAUCAGCCACACUGGAACUGAGACACGGUCCAGACUCCUACGGGAGGCAGCAGUGGGGAAUAUUGGACAAUGGGCGCAACUGAAUCCAGCCAUACCGCGUGGGUGAAGAAGGCCUUCGGGUUGUAAAGCCCUUUUGUUGGGAAAGAAAUCCAGCUGGUUAAUACCCGGUUGGGAUGACGGUACCCAAAGAAUAAGCACCGGCUAACUUCGUGCCAGCAGCCGCGGUAAUACGAAGGGUGCAAGCGUUACUCGGAAUUACUGGGCGUAAAGCGUGCGUAGGUGGUCGUUUAAGUCCGUUGUGAAAGCCCUGGGCUCAACCUGGGAACUGCAGUGGAUACUGGACCGACUAGAGUGUGGUAGAGGGUAGCGGAAUUCCUGGUGUAGCAGUGAAAUGCGUAGAGAUCAGGAGGAACAUCCAUGGCGAAGGCA